UAAACCUGGAGUUUGUUUCUGUGAUAUUGC
rnacentral:piRNA from 1 species